rnacentral:rRNA from 1 species
AGUGAACGCUGGCGGUAGGCCUAACACAUGCAAGUCGAACGGCAGCACAGUAAGAGUUUGCUCUUACGGGUGGCGAGUGGCGGACGGGUGAGGAAUACAUCGGAAUCUACUUUUUCGUGGGGGAUAACGUAGGGAAACUUACGCUAAUACCGCAUACGACCCACGGGUGAAAGCAGGGGAUCUUCGGACCUUGCGCGAUUGAAUGAGCCGAUGUCGGAUUAGCUAGUUGGCGGGGUAAAGGCCCACCAAGGCGACGAUCCGUAGCUGGUCUGAGAGGAUGAUCAGCCACACUGGAACUGAGACACGGUCCAGACUCCUACGGGAGGCAGCAGUGGGGAAUAUUGGACAAUGGGCGCAAGCCUGAUCCAGCCAUACCGCGUGGGUGAAGAAGGCCUUCGGGUUGUAAAGCCCUUUUGUUGGGAAAGAAAAGCAGCAGGUUAAUACCCCGCUGUUCUGACGGUACCCAAAGAAUAAGCACCGGCUAACUUCGUG